GGCCACUUGGAGAUAGAGGCAGCAAGAGCAGAACCAGUGGGCUGCGUCAGCAUGUGAAGUGACUAUAAGCUUAACCUUUUGUGCAUGUCUGUGGGCUCUAGUCUGUGAGCUGAAUCUGAAGCUUGGAUGUGAAACCCUCUGGAUCCGACCUUGCGGCCAAGCCUUGUGGGUGGAACAGCGGCAGAGGCAAACAAAGCACGAGUCUGCAAGAGGCUGUCCCAACCCUGCCUGCGUUGCAUGCGCCAGGACUGUUGGAGGCUGUGCUGUGCCCCUCUCGGCCAAGCCCCCUCUUUCAUGUCAGCCAGCUGUUGCUCCUGCCACCCCUGUGCUACCCCUUCUAAUGGCUGUUCAGAAGUGGGGGAUGAAAGGGAGAGCUUCACAGGAGAAGAUGCCAAAACCAGAGGUGAUGAUUUUCACUCUUUCAACACAUCAUCAAAUAGAUCACGCUGCAUAAUUAGUCCCUCUGAACUGGGGGCCCGUUAAUUAGGAUGCAGAGUGUUUGUUUAAGGGAGCCUUGCUCUUU
ensembl:lncRNA